rnacentral:rRNA from 1 species
ACGGCUCAGUAACACGUGGAUAACCUGCCCUUGGGUCCGGCAUAACCCCGGGAAACUGGGGAUAAUUCCGGAUAACGCACAUAUGCUGGAAUGCUUUAUGCGUAAAAUGGAUUCGUCUGCCCAAGGAUGGGUCUGCGGCCUAUCAGGUAGUAGUGGGUGUAAUGUACCUACUAGCCGACGACGGGUACGGGUUGUGAGAGCAAGAGCCCGGAGAUGGAUUCUGAGACAUGAAUCCAGGCCCUACGGGGCGCAGCAGGCGCGAAAACUUUACAAUGCGGGAAACCGUGAUAAGGGGACACCGAGUGCCAGCAUCAUAUGCUGGCUGUCCAGGUGUGUAAAAUACACCUGUUAGCAAGGGCCGGGCAAGACCGGUGCCAGCCGCCGCGGUAACACCGGCGGCCCGAGUGGUGAUCGUGAUUAUUGGGUCUAAAGGGUCCGUAGCCGGUUUGGUCAGUCCUCCGGGAAAUCUGAUAGCUCAACUAUUAGGCUUUCGGGGGAUACUGCCAGACUUGGAACUGGGAGAGGUAAGAGGUACUACAGGGGUAGGAGUGAAAUCUUGUAAUCCCUGUGGGACCACCUGUGGCGAAGGCGUCUUACCAGAACGGGUUCGACGGUGAGGGACGAAAGCUGGGGGCACGAACCGGAUUAGAUACCCGGGUAGUCCCAGCCGUAAACGAUGCUCGCUAGGUGUCAGACAUGGCGCGACCGUGUCUGGUGCCGCAGGGAAGCCGUGAAGCGAGCCACCUGGGAAGUACGGCCGCAAGGCUGAAACUUAAAGGAAUUGGCGGGGGGAGCACAA